rnacentral:rRNA from 1 species
UGGGGAAUUUUGGACAAUGGGGGAAACCCUGAUCCAGCCAUCCCGCGUGUGCGAUGAAGGCCUUCGGGUUGUAAAGCACUCUUGGCAGGAAAGAAACGUCAUGGGUGAAUACCCCGUGAAACUGACGGUACCUGCAGAAUAAGCACCGGCCAACUACGUGCCAGCAGCCGCGGUAAUACGUAGGGUGCAAGCGUUAAUCGGAAUUACUGGGCGUAAAGCGUGCGCAGGCGGUUCGGAAAGAAAGAUGUGAAAUCCCAGAGCUCAACUUUGGAACUGCAUUUUUAACUACCGGGCUAGAGUGUGUCAGAGGGAGGUGGAAUUCCGCGUGUAGCAGUGACAUGCGUAGAUAUGCGGAGGAACACCGAUGGCGAAGGCAGCCUCCUGGGAUAACACUGACGCUCAUGCACGAGAGCGUGGGGAGCAAACAGG